GGAGAGGUGUCCGAGUGGCUGAAGGAGCGCGACUGGAAAUCGCGUAGACGGGCUUUCCCCGUCUCGAGGGUUCGAAUCCCUCCCUCUCCGCCA
rnacentral:tRNA from 1 species